rnacentral:lncRNA from 1 species
GUCGGUAUGAAUAAUAAUAUGAUUGGGAGCAAGAAUGAAUUAUUUCAUCUUCAUCCUGAUGAAGAAUGUAUUGAUUCAUAAAAGUUAUGAACCGUUCGAGCUAAGAAAUGAUAUUUGUACAACUAUUUUGUGACAACAUUUUGACAACUUUAUCUCUCAUAUUCAUAUUAUGUUCUUACUUCCAUCAUCCUCCCUCUUUAUUGUUUUUGACCAAUAAAACGAAAGAAAAAGAAAUUUGCCGCAAAAGUUGUCACCAAAUAAUUGUACAAAUAUCAUUAUUCAUUCAAGCCUUUGUUUUUAAGUGAAUCGAUA